rnacentral:misc_RNA from 1 species
CUUUUAUCAUAAAAUUUUAUUUUUUUACUGUGUCUAAGUAGGAUAGUAUAAGAAUGGGCAUACAUUUAAGAAUGUAAAUGUGAUUAUCAAAGAAAAUAGAAUAGCUUCUUCUACUUUCGUAAGACGUGUGUAUGUGAAAUUGAUGAAAUUUAACAUGUCGGAAGAUAGUAUAGAGGAGUCCAAGGGAUUGGAGUGUAGUAUAUAUCAAAAUUAUACAGCAUCUGAAGUAUUCAUUCAGGGCCUUGCAGGAAUUGUCAACCAACAGGAUAUUGCAUCCAUUGUUAUUGCUCAAAAGAAAAUGCUUCAACGUUUUGAAAAAACAAAUGAAAUGUUGGCCAAUUGUAAUAGUCUUUCCAUGACUCGGUAUGAGAAAUCUUUGAAGGACUUCAAAAAUCACACUAAAUUAGUUACUGACAUGAGAAAAGACUUGGAUUCCAUCUUUAAACGUAUCAAAGUAAUCAAGUCAAAGAUGGUUAUACGUUAUCCAGAAGCUGUCAAAGGUGACUAUACGAGUAAAUAUAUAAUUUCACUUCACCUCGUAGAUAUACAAUUGUUAUGUCCGCAUCCCAUUUGCUCAGAGAACAACAACAAAUAUUACUGAAAACAUCUCUUCCUAUCCCCACAUACCCCACUAUAUCCGUUUCUUCUCCUGUCGUGGCUCCAUUUGCUUCAACGUCAGAAGUAUGAUUAUUUGUUAAUUAUUUUUUGUUUCGAAUAAAGUAUGGAAAAUCAAAAUUUAGAUCCUUCCUAUGAUUACUCCAAUGUUGAGUAGUUAAAUUUAUCAUUCGAGGGAGUUGUGGAAAAUAAUUGGGCCAAAACCAUCGAAGCCGCCAAACAGCAUGGCUUCAAUCAAAGAGCCAGUGGCUUUGGAAUAUCGUCUACCGAAAAAUAUUGAUAUGGCAACUUUUCCUUGGUUCAUUCCAUUGAUACUGGUGUUUCAAGAAACCUAUGUAUAACAAGCUUCUGGAUAUGACCCUGAAAAAAUGGAUAAAGAAGAAGAUGAUGAAUAUGAUGUGGUCAUUCGUAAAAUGAAGGACAUAAAGUCUACUGUUCCGGAAUCCUUUCAACAAAGUGGAGACUUACAUCUUCCCAUUCAGUGAAUUCUUAAUUUGAACACUCAAUUUCAUAUGUCUUAUUUAUUUGUAUCAAUUACU